GCCUCAGUGGCGGAAUUGGUAGACGCACAGGACUUAAAAUCCUGCGAGUGUAACAGCUCAUAUCGGUUCAAGUCCGAUCUGGGGCACCA
rnacentral:tRNA from 1 species